GUGAACGCUGGCGGCGUGUCUAAGGCAUGCAAGUCGAGCGGUUCAAUUUUCGCAAGAGAAUUGAGCAGCGGCAAACGGGUGCGUAACACCUUGGUAACCUACCCUGGAGACGAGCAUAACUUCCCGAAAGGGAUGCUAAUUCUCGAUGAUGUCCGGUCGCGCGCAAGCGCGGUCCUGAUGAAAUAGUUCGCAAGAACUGCUCUGGGAGGGGCCUAGGUCCUAUCAGGUAGUUGGCGGGGUAAUUGCCCACCAAGCCUAUGACGGGUAGCAGGCGUGAGAGCGCGACCUGCCUCAGGGGAACUGAGACACUGUCCCCACAUCUACGGAUGGCUGCAGUCAAGAAUAUUCCUCAAUGGACGAAAGUCUGAAGGAGCGACGCCGCGUGCCAGAUGAAGCCCUUCGGGGUGUAAAUGGCUUUUUCCAAGGAAGAACUCUGACGGUACUUGGAGAAUAAGGGGUUCCUAACUCUGU
rnacentral:rRNA from 1 species